GACGAACGCUGGCGGCGUGCUUAACACAUGCAAGUCGAACGGAAAGGCCCUGCUUUUGUGGGGUGCUCGAGUGGCGAACGGGUGAGUAACACGUGAGUAACCUGCCCUUGACUUUGGGAUAACUUCAGGAAACUGGUGCUAAUACCGGAUAGGAGCUCCUGCUGCUUGGUGGGGGUUGGAAAGUUUCGGCGGUUGGGGAUGUACUCGCGGCUUAUCAGCUUGUUGGUGGGGUAGUGGCUUACCAAGGCUUUGACGGGUAGCCGGCCUGAGAGGGUGACCGGCCACAUUGGGACUGAGAUGCGGCCCAGACUCCUACGGGAGGCAGCAGUGGGGAGUAUUGCACAAUGGGCGGAAGCCUGGUGCAGCAACGCCGCGUGCGGGAUGACGGCCUUCGGGUUGUAAACCGCUUUCGCCUGUGACGAAGCGUGAGUGACGGUAAUGGGUGAAGAAGCACCGGCUAACUACGUG
rnacentral:rRNA from 1 species